AUUGAACGCUGGCGGCAGGCCUAACACAUGCAAGUCGAACGAGUGGCGGAGGGGUGAGCAGUGUCUGGGAAACUGCCUGAUGGAGGGAGAUAACCAGUGGAAAAGGUAGCUAAUACCGCAAACUCUGGUAUGGGCCCAGAUGGGAUUAGCGAGUAGGUGGGGUAACGGCUCACCUAGGCGACGAUCCCUAGCAGGUCUGAGAGGAUGACCAGCCACACUGGAACUGAGACACGGUCCAGACUCCUACGGGAGGCAGCAGUGGGGAAUAUUGCACAAUGGGCGCAAGCCUGAUGCAGCCAUGCCGCGUGUAUGAAGAAGGCCUUCGGGUUGUAAAGUACUUUCAGUGGGGAGGCGUUACCCACAGAAGAAGCACCGGCUAACUCCGUGCCAGCAGCCGCGGUAAUAC
rnacentral:rRNA from 1 species